rnacentral:rRNA from 1 species
UACGAAGGGGGCUAGCGUUGUUCGGAAUUACUGGGCGUAAAGCGCACGUAGGCGGAUAUUUAAGUCAGGGGUGAAAUCCCAGAGCUCAACUCUGGAACUGCCUUUGAUACUGGGUAUCUCGAGUAUGGAAGAGGUGAGUGGAAUUCCGAGUGUAGAGGUGAAAUUCGUAGAUAUUCGGAGGAACACCAGUGGCGAAGGCGGCUCACUGGGCCAUUACUGACGCUGAGGUGCGAAAGCGUGGGGAGCAAACAGG